rnacentral:misc_RNA from 1 species
UACGGAGGGUGCAAGCGUUGUCCGGAAUCACUGGGUGUAAAGGGUGUGCAGGCGGGCUGGCAAGUCAGAGGUGAAAUCUCCCGGCUCAACCGGGGAAUGGCCCCUGAUACUGCCAGUCUUGAGUCUCGAAGAGGUCGCUGGAAUUCGUGGUGUAGCGGUGAAAUGCGUAGAUAUCACGAGGAACAUCAGAGGCGAAAGCGAGCGACUGGUCGAGUACUGACGCUCAGGCACGAAAGCGUGGGGAGCAAACAGG